ensembl:lncRNA
AUGAGGUCCUCUCGACAAGGGGAGGGAAAACCCAAAGCGCCGGAGAAAAGGGGGCUAGGCAGCUUUCGUCGGUCUUCUCUUACCGCUCGUUUGGGAGGUGAGGUCGCCCUUCCCGGUCAGCAAAACCGCAGCCUCACCGCGGAGAGACCCUCGAGGGCCGUCCCGGAGAGUAUUUUUCCACGGGAAGAUGUUCUGAAAAGCACAUGGCAAGGGUUGAAGGCGAGGUUUUUGGACAUCUUAUCUGACAGAGAGAUUUGGAGAGUUCAAAAGAUGACACACAUCUUAAUGGUCUUUUGGUCAUCUUAAGUAAGUAUUAAGAAUAUGGCUUUGCCACCAAUUUUGCUCUGAUUUUGGUCUCCCUCCUUACUACUGACAUUACCUCUCUUUACUUUUGCAGUGAUCACUGUGCAUCAUUUUGUAUUUUCGCUUCCUAAAUUACCUGUACACCCUAGUUACUGGGCAGUCCAAUACUAGUGUGGUGUGUCGUGUGGUGUGGUGUAAUAUAGUGUAGGAUAAAGUCAUAUAAAGCAACCAAUUCUGAAUUUUGCAAGAGGGAAUUCUACAGAAAGCAUUGGAGAGGGAGAGUAAAGCUCCAGAUUUAACCUCAUAGGUGGUGAACUCAGAUACAUGUCCCACUGAACUGCACAUGCUGGCAAGUUGGAACAUGCCAAUGAAUAUAUGGGUUAUUUGCUUGCUGCUAUAACUGAGUAUUUCUAUGAAGAAGCAGCCUACACAGUAUGUUAGUUAACAUGCAACAGCAAAACCGAAGAGGUUUUGUACUCUCUUUUGUCAUGCUGUUAACACACUCCCUUGGGAAAAAGGCAGACUGACCACUGAGUGGUUUUCCAUAGUCUGGUGACAAGGAAGGUGAAUGACAAGGGGCCACCUUUGGUCAACCUAAUGAACCAGAAAGAAAAGGGACAUGUUUCUUUCCCGACACCUCUGUGCUCCCGACUAGGUUCUGUCACCCAAGAGAUCAGGUCCUAUUGCAAGUCAGGGACAAUUUCUUGUAAAUGUCUUUGGAACCGUAUAGAAAGUAUAAGAGGCUUGAUUUUACUAAGAGAGAGCAGAUAGAAACAAAGAUUUCUAUCUUUGAAAAAAAUCUAAACAAAAUCUACUAACAAAGAUUUAGAAAAAAGAGAUGUAAACAUAUUCUGUCUCUGAUGCUGCCUCCACGCCACAUGAUGUUGUAGUUCUGGCAAACCUUUCAAGAAAUAGAAGCAAGAUGUUCCCUUUGUUUUCCCUGACAAAACAAAACUUCAAAUAUAAAUAUAUAUAUAUCCUGCAACCAUACCCAUGUGUACCAUAUGAAUAGUGUUUGCAUUGUGAUGAAGCAUUCAGGGAUGACAGGAUUCUUCCUUGGCAGUGAGUGCCCUCAGAGUGAAGGAUAUGUGUGAGCUGGCAUAAAUUUCUAUAGGUGAAAAGGUAGUUCCUGCAUUUACAUCCGUAGGAAAAAUACAGGGGUGAGCAAAUUGCUCACAGACCUUAGGGUGACUGCAUAAGUUGCACAAUUUCUCAGCAUGGACUAGGAAACAUAGGGAUUGAUUAGCUUUCCCCCUCAGGGAUUUCACUGGCAUCCGGUUUGUGUGAUCUCCAAACGCCAUCAUUUCCAGACAGCACAACCAUGACAACGGGAAUUGUGCUCCAAUUUAUGGGAAGAGCACCAAUUUCACUGCUUUGUCAUUCAGAAAUAAGCUCAGGAUUCAUUUGCAAAUCUGUUGUGCAGACACCAAAACUUGUGCGGAAAAUGAAUCUUUGUGCCUUUUUGAUUGGCCUAAUAAAGGUAUGAUCUCAAUAUACA